CGGGCACGAGGGUUGAUCUAAGUAAAUCAUUUUUUUGGCCUAGUACUGGUGAUAGAAAAGCCAUUGACAGUGAUAGAGAGAAGUAGCGUGAGCGAAAGACUUUAAUCAAGGUAGAAUCAGUGGUGGGCUCUCGUACCUUUUGCAUCAUGGCUUUAUGAGUGUUUAUCCCUAGGAAGAUCCCCGAAAGUUUGGCGAUCUAUUUUUUUACUGAGGUUGGCGUAAUAGGCUAUCUUUAGAUGGAAAAAUAGUGGCGAAAUACCUUUCGCGCUGACUGAUAGCUGGCUGUUUCGUAAAUAUAUUUAAGUAUAGGUUUCAUCAAGCAGGCUGGGGGAAUAAAACCCCCAGCCUUUGAUGGUAGCUCAGUCCCUUCAGGCUAAGCUGAAGGGAACAACUAAAGGUUUAUUAAUAAAAUAAAUGGAAAGUGGGCUUAAAGGAGCUAUCUUUUUAGAGUGGGUUAAUCCUCAAUAUUUUUUAUUAGUGAUCGUAUUUUAUUCCUUUUGUUUGAACGGAACCUCUUCACGAAACUAAAAUGUGAGGGUGAUAAUGUAAAGAUGAGUAGCUAAAUAUGUGGGGUUUGUUAAUUCGGGAAAUUAGACGUAAAACAAAUAAUCUUGAUAAGCAAAGCUAAAGGAACUCGGCAAAAAUGAAAACCGCCUGUUUAACAAAAACAUGGCUCCUUGAUAACAUAAGGAGUCGUGCCUUCCCGGUGAGUUUAAGCUUAAACGGAUGCGGUAAAGCGUGCUAAGGUAGCUAAGUUAUGGCCUAGCUAAUUGUAGGCCCUGUGAAUGGUUUGACGAGUUUUCUUCUGUCUCUAGCUUGUUUAAGUGAACUUGAGUUGGAUGUGCAAAUGCUUCCUUGGUAAAGAAAGACGAGAAGACCCCGUGAAGUUAGAAAUUAAUGUGCAGAAUAGUGGGAGGCUACUUUUUCUGCCUUAUAGUUUUGGCUGGGGCAGCAAGGGGGCAAAAGUAGACCCCUUAAAAUUUAAUUCUGGUGAGUAAUGACCCAUAAGGUUUAAGGGUAUGAUUAGUAGAAGAAGUUACUCCGGGGAUAACAGCGUAAUCCGCCUUGACAGUCCUUAUAGAUGGGUGGGUUUGCGACCUCGAUGUUGGCUCUGGAUGUCCUGAAGCUGUAGGCGGUUUCAAGGGUUGGUUCGUUCGCCCAUUAAAAUCCAACGUGAGCUGAGUUCAGAUCGGCGAAAGCUAGGUCGGUUUCUAUCUUCUUUUUAAUGGAAAGCCUUAGGGUACGAAAGGACAUUUGGCUUCAGAGGUUCUGUAAUAGUGAUCUUGUAAUAUAAUUAUAGUAAAAAAAAAAAAAAAAAAAAACGAGGGGGGGCCCGAAAUUGUAAGCG
rnacentral:rRNA from 1 species